AACGAACGCUGGCGGCAGGCUUAACACAUGCAAGUCGAACGGGUGUAGCAAUACAUCAGUGGCAGACGGGUGAGUAACACGUGGGAACCUUCCUAGAGGUACGGAACAACUCAGGGAAACUUGAGCUAAUACCGUAUACGCUCUUGCGAGGAAAGAUUUAUCGCCUUUAGACGGGCCCGCGUCGGAUUAGCUAGUUGGUGGGGUAACGGCCUACCAAGGCGACGAUCCGUAGCUGAUCUGAGAGGAUGAUCAGCCACACUGGGACUGAGACACGGCCCAGACUCCUACGGGAGGCAGCAGUGGGGAAUCUUGGACAAUGGGCGCAGGCCUGAUCCAGCCAUGCCGCGUGAGUGAAGAAGGCCUUCGGGUUGUAAAGCUCUUUUGUCAGGGACGAUAAUGACGGUACCUGAAGAAUAAGCCCCGGCAAACUUCGUGCCAGCCGCCGCCGUAACAC
rnacentral:rRNA from 1 species